rnacentral:lncRNA from 10 species
CAAAUGUUUACUUUCAACACUGCUAUCUAGGCUUGAGAAGAACAUGAAUACAAUCUGUUUUAGCUUAGUGAUAUAAGAAACUAAAGUAGAAUGUGAACAUAGCUGAAUGGAGAGCAGUGGGUGGUACUUAUAAAUGAAACUACCCUUUUUUUUUUUUUUUUUUUUUUUUUUUGAGACAGAGCCUCACUCUGUCACCCAGGCGGGAAUGUGGUGGCACGACAAUCUCGGCUCACUGCAACCUCUGCCUCCUGGGUUCAAAUGAUGCUCCUGCCUCAACCUCCCAAGUGGCUGGGAUUACAGGAACCUACCAACAUGCCUGGCUAAUUUUUUGUAUUUUUUAAUAGAGACAGGGUUUCACCAUGUUGGCCAGGCUGGUGAACUCCUGACCUCGUGAUCCAUCUGCCUCAGCCUCCCAAAGUGCUGGGAUUACAGGCAUGAGCCACCACACACAGCCUGAAGGUACCUAUUAAUUGGAACUCUAAACUAUAACUAAACUGUGACCCCUCUUAAGCUCUUUACUUUGGACUUCCUGGAUCUUUCCAAUACUGUACAUUUGAAUCCCUAAUGGUGAGAAGAUCAACUUCUAUUAUUUUUUCUGGAGAAGACAUAUAACCCAUCCAGAUUUGAGGUCAGACAGUUAAAUGUCUUUUUGUAUGUAUGUAUGUAUGUAUUUACUUAUUUAUUUAUUUAUUUGCUCAUUUAUUUUUUGAGACAGGGUCUCGCUCUGUCACCCAGGCUGGAGUGCAGUGGCGUGAUCUCAGCCUACUGCAAACUCUACCUCCUUGGUUGAAGAGAUUCUCCUGCCUCAUCCUCCCAUGUAGCUGGGAUUACAGGUGUGCACC